CAAUAUUAUUCGUUUGUUGAGUGCUUGGGAGGACGUAUAACGAUGUCGUACAGGAACAAUGAUAGCCGUAUUUAUGUUGGAAAUUUGCCUCCUGACAUUAGAACAAAAGAUAUUGAAGAUAUAUUCUACAAGUUUGGGAAAAUUACUUUCAUCGACUUGAAAAAUAGAAGAGGCCCGCCUUUUGCCUUUGUGGAAUUUGAAGAUACCAGAGAUGCAGAAGAUGCGGUCCAUUCACGAGAUGGCUACGAUUAUGAUGGAUACCGGCUACGUGUAGAAUUUCCAAAAGGGAAUAAUCCAGGAAGAGGUUUUGGGUCCCGAGGCAGAGGUAGAGGUCCUCCAGCUCGUCGCUCUCAGCAUCGAAUUCUUGUUUCAGGUUUACCUGCAACUGGGAGUUGGCAGGAUCUGAAAGAUCACAUGCGAGAAGCUGGAGAUGUAUGCUAUGCUGAUGUAUCCAAAGAUGGGACAGGAGUUGUAGAGUUUCUCAGAUAUGAAGACAUGAAAUAUGCUGUAAAAAAGCUUGAUGACUCCAGGUUUCGUUCUCACGAGGGAGAGGUGUCCUACAUAAGAGUCAAGGAGGAUUAUUACGGACGGUCACGUUCCAGAAGUAGAAGUUACUCACCAAGACGUAGCAGAGGCUCACCAACAUACUCUCCAGCUCGUAGAUCCCACACUCGUUCCCGGUCCAGAUCAUAUUCCAAGUAAAAGAUCAACAUGUGCAUUCAGAUAGUGUUAACAUCUGAAACUUCAAAUAAUGCAUAGGAUGUGAUGUCGACGUAUUAUCAGCUUUAACUACGAUAUGAGGUAGCAAGGAUCACUUGGCUGUACUCUUAAGGAUUUAACAAAACUAUGGAUCUAACUGGAUUUCCUAAGGAUGGGAUGGCAUGGGUGUGGAUCCCAGGAUAGGCUAAACUCUCUCUCUCUCUCUUUGGAUGGCUCUGUAAAUAUCUGGUAUAGGAGUAGUAGCGACAGAAACAUUCCUGCUUCCUGGUAUGAAGGGCAGGAUUAACACCUUAUGGUUUAUCCAGGACAGGCAGCUUUUAGGAACAAAUUCCCAUUAGAUAAUUAUGUUGACUAAUGCUCUAAAUCUGCAGAGAAAGUGGAUUGUGUUCCAGGUGCUUCAUGAAGACCAGGAAUACAUAUCAUAAAUCUUGUAUUGGAUGGACCUAGUGGUUGCUAGGAGUAUGUGGGCAGUAAGACUUCAUUCGUGGCUUAUUCAUAGUGACAGAGAGGAGCACUCGAGGUGCAGGAAACUCCUGGCACUUGAAGCGUUACAUUUAAAGGAAACAUGUUUAAACCCUUCAGCACCAGGCUGCAGUGUGUCCAAUAAAGACUGGCACUGAAGGGAUUAAACACACUCAAUAGUACUUCACCACCAAGCUACUCGUGGAGAAUCUUAUGUUUUGCUAUAGCCUAACAUUGCAUAGGAAAAACAAGGAAUUCAUUUCUUGUGGAAUCAAGGAGAAGUUAAGGAUCCCCAUGGAUUUUUUUUUAUUAUAUUAAACAUGACAACAAGAUACAUGUUGCACUAAAUACUUGUUUGGAAGUUUAGGAACUUUAGUGAUCAAGGCCAGCUAAGGGAAAUCUCAUAUGUAAGUCCAUAUCAAAGUGUUUUUAAUUGUAAAGUAUACCAUUUGUUCUUCGAGUGAAUUAUAUGGUAGAUUGUAAGUAUAGAGCUUUUAACAAAUGGGGCACUCCAGGUAAGUUGAUAGUGUACUCCUACGUAGGGUGGGGGGAGGAAGAUAACAGCAUCUUUAAACCAUGUUCUUCCCCACGUGAUUUCAUGUUAACAUCUCAAACUAAAUUCAUCAUUAUUCCCUAUAAAACACAGGAUAUAGUUAAAAUAAUUACUUGUUAAUGUAGAGAUCAGGGCUAGUUCUGCUGUUUUGAUGCAAGUAAUCCAUCCAUCAUCAGACUGCUAUGAUACAUACUUGGCUUUAUGUUUUAUAUGAUGAACUGUCUUGCCCUGAAUGUUAUUGGUUCACAGUAGUAUAAGCAGUUAUAGUAACACUUAAUUUGUGGGUAUUUCUGUGUACAUUUAAUUAUAAGAUUUCAUUAGUUUGGUUUAAUAGUUGAAAGAUUUAUCUUAAUUCUCUUCAGCAUUUUCCAACAUUGAAGAGGAGUGUUUAAAAAUUGUAAUGUAAUAAAUAACAAUUUUGUGGUUACUGGUUAAGUUGAAAUAAAAAAUACAUUUGCUUAGUAUUCCAUAAACUUC